rnacentral:lncRNA from 10 species
AACACCACCUGCCAACAUUCAGCCUCCUCUGCCCAUCAGCCUUGCUGACACAGGGAGUGGAGAUUUGUGUAGAGAAAUGACUCAUUCAAAUAUGACUUAAUCUAAACCGUAAGUGUAUGAUUUAUUAAUGUGCCACCAGGCCUUACACCAAGAGAGCCAUUCCAGAGAAAAGUCCUUUUUCUCCUGAGAACAGUGCCAGCAGCUGGCUUCGUGACAUUCUGGAAGCCCCGUGCAAUGCUGUCAGGAGCAUAGGGAUUUUACUUUAUCUCCCUUGCUUAUGCUCCACAUAACUGAAAUAUCUCACUGGAAGCUGCAGCAGUGCUGGCCCCUUGCACAGCCAUAUGUGACCACUGCAGAACAAUCAGUUGGAGAGACAGUUUGGACUACAUGGAGGGUGGAGAUAAGGACAAAGUGAAGAAUACACAGGAACCAGUGCCUCCUCCUGGAACUAUGCAACUCCAAGCUGCUUCCAUCAGCUGCUAGGUCCAGUAGGGAGGGACCUACUGAGAGAAGGUGCCUGCUUCCCUUUCCGCUGUGAUUGUAAGUUUCCUGAGGCCUCCUCAGCCAUGUGGAACUGUGAGUCAAUGAAACCUGUUUCCUUUAUAAAUUACUCAGUCUCUGGUAUUCCUUUAUAGCAGUGUGAAAAUGGACUAAUAUACUUGCCCUUCAUCCCAACGAUGGAUUUAAGACUAGAGACAUUUCAAAUAGUAGGUUUUUUGCCAAAUGCCUUUCGCUGUAGAAAUUCUAUACAUGGCCUUUGUCUGUUACACUGGAAGUCCUGCCACUUCUUAGAUGGUGGAGAUUAAAACAGCGAUUUCUUGUGGUGGUGGCGGGGCUGGGGUUGGGAACAUUGAGGAUAAGGUGGGAGCUGCCCAUCUCAGACACUACUGAGAUAGUGGGAUGGGCCACAUAAAUGUCUAUGGAAGAGAUGCCUUUGCCAUACAAUUCCUUCAACAAAUACUCAUUGAUCACACACCAUAUCUGGGGGUGUAGCUGAGAACAAAACAAAGCUCCUGUUUUGAGGAGCUUUAGGCUGUAGAGAAAACAGAAAAUAAACAAGCAAGCAAAUGGAUGUUUUUAAGUGGCAAAAGUGCUAUAAAGGAAACAAGUAGUGGGAUGAGAUGAGGGGAGGAGAACUUCAGGUAAGGUGGCAUCAGAGCAGGAAGCUGAACUGAGGGUGAGUGAGCUGAGCUCAACAGAAAGGACUGUUGGACUGAGCCAGCCACAUGGAGAUCUGGAGAAGGGAAGAGGGCACUACCAUUUUGUUUUUGUUUUUUAUUGGAUUUAAGACGUCACUAUUGUACCUCUAAAAGAAAAAAAAAAACUGUAAUUAUAAUUGUAAAUUACAAAAUUGAUUGUAAAACACAUUUUGAUAACAAUGAAUUAAAAUAUGUUAAAUUACAUGCCUUAGCAUCAAUAUAUUAGUUCAAAAGCCCAGAAGUGUUAAACAAGCUUAGUGCUUAUCUAAGCAACUGAAAAGAAUCUGAUAUGUUUAUAGUUGGUGAAUGACAGAGAAAAAGAUAUGAGGUUUCAGGGGGGCAAAAGGAUAAAUCUUGAGGUCUUAGUUUAAUUAAAAACGGGUGAUGAUACCAUUUACUGAGAUAGGAGAGAUUUCAGGUUGCCAAGAUGUCAAUUUCAGACAUAUUUUAUAUAUGUUAAGUGACAAUUAAGAGAAGGAGGGUUAAAAGGAGACUUAAGAUUCAGUGAAAACUCAAGGUUUAUGAAGACUUUUGCUCCAUAUCCAUCAGGAAACCAGAAAUCCCUGAAAUUAAUAGCUGAAUAAAUAGAAUAAGGUCAACAUUAUUUUUAACACAUAUUUUUAUGUCAUAUGCAUACUAUGUCACCAUAAUCAGUAAACUGUUAAAGUGCCAGAAAAUGCUUCUACAUCAUUUUCAUUCUGACAGGAAGUAGAUAGAAAUGGCAUGUAUCUACGAAGCCAAGUUCUUUCAAAAUUUACAGCUUAAUUUCUCCAAUUGUUUAGAGUGAUAAAUUUUUCACUGAGGCCAUUGACCAGCACAAUAAUUGUGUCUACACAGCAUGUUUAUAUCAAAUACCAUUGCAUCUGUUAUGUCCUGUUCAUGCUGUGACCUUCCCAGAAGGCAGUUAGGGAUUGAAACUAGUACGCACAAUAGUGUAGAUCAGAAAACUGAUGUCAGGCUCUAGUGACAUGUGUAGGUACUGGCAGAACUGGAAUUAGAACCAGAUUUCUACAGUUGCACCCCUGGUUCUUUGCUCCAAAUGCUAAAGCCCUUGGUUAUUUGAUUUUCCUGUUGUCUUUAUCCUAUCCCCAGGCUCUAUUUGGGUUUCUGUAGUGAAAUUAAGGAUAACCUCAUCUGCAUGCUGUACUUUCUUAAAUAGAUUUUUCUAAUCUCCCAUACUCCCACAACCAUAAAUGACAAAAUACAAGCAUGCUUAGGAUCAUUGUGCCCCACAAUAAAAAAAGCUGUUGCUAUGUUUUGGAAACAGAUCAAUCUUGGUAUUUAAGUGUUGUUUGAACAAAGAUUAACUGAGCCUGUUCUCCUCCCCCAGGUACUCAGACCCAGAACAUACUGUUUUCACUCCAAGAGUCUGAAUGUCUCUUUUCUGAGAAAGAUGAAGAAAAAGUACUUUUUUCAUGAAUUUAAUACUCAUUAAAGUCAAUAGUCGGAAAGCCUGGCUAAUUAGCAGACUUCUUCAGAGGACUUUAAAUAAUAUAGUUACUGUAUUUUUAUUAUAUUGAAAUCUCCAAAUAUAUAAAGUUAGAAUCUUCAAGGUGGGAGGAAGAGGAGAAAUUGGAUUUCUCUAAGCUCCCUAGUGAUUCUGAUGAUGACUCAUUUGGGGAAGUGCAGCAUUGAAUGGCCCUUCUAAAAUGAGGACAGCUAUUUUUUGGACUAAGCACCCCUCCCGACUCUCCCCAUUCCUCAUCCUCUCAGAGACUUCUCUCUCUCAGAUUGCCCCAUCUGUCUCAUGUAUUAUAAUCACUUCCCCUCUACUGGUUUCUUCUCAUACGUUUAACUUGUUCAAGUGCCUUCCAUCUUUAAAAACAGUCAAGGCACAGCCCUUGAUUUAACCAUAGGAAGCCCGCUCCCCACCACCCUGCCAUCAGCUCUCUUCUUCCUGUGUAGUGAGCACUGCUUCUUUGAGCUUCUGAAAGCUGUAGUCACUGCCUCUUGCUGGUAACUGAAAGCACAUUUCUAAGUUCGCAUAUUCCCUGACUUCUUGACAGCACUCAUGACUCGCCAUCUCCUUUUCUGGAACACUGUUUGCUUGGCUUUCACAAUAUCAUGCUUUUCUAGUUCUUUUUCCUGUUUUGGACACUGCUUUACAGAGAAUUAACAUUCCUCUUUUUCCCGCUGACCCUGAAUCAAGAAAGAAUCAUGUUUCUUUCUUUAUUUUUUAUAUCUUAACUUUUGAGGGGUAGAUUUUCAAGCAUACAUAAAAGUGAAGAGAACAGGAUAAUGAACUAGGUGUACACAUGACUGCAUCUUAUCAGUGCAAUACACACUCAUAUUACUUUUUCUAUACUUCAUCCAUUUUCUCCCUGCUCCCUGACUUGGAUCAAAUCCCAGACAUUACAUUAUUUAACCUGCAAAUAUUUCAUCAUAUAUAUGUGGGAAUAUAUAGAUCUCUAUCACUAUAUAUAGUGAGAAUUUCUUUCAAAGAAAAGAUAAUCACAAUAUUAUAAUCUCAUCAAAUGUAGUUGUUAUAAUUCCUUAAUGUCAGUCUAAUAACAAUCCUGUUUUCACAAUUUCUUCUCUUGUAGAUUUUUAAAAAUUAAUUUUGUUGAAUUGAAAUCUAAAUAAGAUACAGAGAUAAAGAUUCAUUGACAUGUCCCUUAAGUAUUUUAGUUUAUAGGCUGUCCUACUAUAUUCCCUGCCUCUUCUUGCAUUUUAUCUUGAUUCAGUUGAAAACUCUGGGUCAUUUGUCUUAUAAAGUUCAUGGGGUCUGCAAUUUGGUGAAGGUGUCCUUUUGGCAUUAUUUAACAUGCGUCUCUGUUCCUUGUAUUUUCUAGAAAUUAUUGGUUAUAUCUAGAGGUUUGAUCAGAUUUAGGUGAAAUUAUAAAAAGAUUCCGUCAUAGGUGAUUUUGUGAAGUUCCAUCAGAAGGUACCCAUCUGGUUUUCUCUCCUUUUGUGAUGCUAGCAGCCACUGAAUAUGGUAAUCUACUCCAAUCAUUAACUAAAUUUCUUUUCUGGAAUUAUUCCAAAAGAGAAACUUUUUUCAUCAUGCAUUUGGUUGUCCUGAGGUAUGAUUGUAUAGGAAAAACAGGAUAACCUACUGAUACUUUCUGUUUAAACUAGUAUUCAAAAUAAUAAAAGUAGUCCCCUAGUAUUAUCUAAAGAUUUCAAAAGACUUUUAAAAAAAUUAUUGAUGAUUUUAUGAGCUCAGGGAUUAAACAUAGUCAAUCUGUUUCAAUCCCUUGCAGUUAUUCCAAUUAAUAAUCAAAUUUUCCUGCCUUUGGCUUGCGGCAGCGUAUUCAUGUUGAAUUCUGGGUCACUUUGACAUGACUCCAGUUGUCUUUGAUGGUAUCCUUUUUGUGACAAAAUGUCCCAGGAUUAUAAUUUCCUGUCCCAUACUGGGAAACAGCCAGUUCUCCAAAGAGCUCUGGAACCAUUCAGUGAGAAAUGUAUUUAGAUGCAACAUUCUGGGUGCUAAGCAUGCCCAUUAACCUGAUCAAUCUCACGUCUUUCCUUUCUUUCAGCAUUGCCAGAAAACUCAUUUCUCAGUGACACCAUUGUAAUUACUCAUUUGAUUAUCCCGCAAUACACAUAUAAGAGUCUCAGGAAAACAGUACCAUCAGCAUUAUAUGAGCUAAUUAAAAAUGUGGUGUCCUGGACUCACGAAGCCAGAAUUGCUGAGGAGAUAGCCCGAGAAUCUGAAUUUUUAGCAGACAUUUUUUUAGGUACCUUACCCGCAGGAUCAUUUCUGUGAAUAUCCAUGAGGUGAAAAAGUCUGGGAAACACUGUCCUAGGACAGGAAACGCCACGAAGUGUCUGGAUCAAAGAACAGACUAUUGCUCACAGAGCACCUUCAUAGCAUUGUUCCUCAUGCCCCCGUUGCCCAAGGGGAUGGCAGGUUGAGGACCAGAUGUACUUGCAUGUUCAGGGGAUGCAGCACAGAAGAGGAACUCCAAAAUUAUUAUUAUUAUUGUUAUUAUUAUUAUUUUUGAGAUGGAGUCUCGCUCUGUCGCCCAGCCUGGAGUGCAGUGGCGUGAUCUCGGCUCACUGCAAGCUCCGCCUCCCGGGUUCACGCCAUUCUCCUGCCUCAGCCUCCCGAGUAGCUGGGACUACAGGCACGCACCGCCACGCCCUGUUAAUUUUUUUUGUAUUUUUUUUUAGUAGAGACAGGGUUUCACCGUGUUAGCCAGGAUGGUCUUGAUCUCCUGACCUCGUGAUCCACCCGCCUCGGCCUCCCAAAGUGCUGGGAUUACAGGCGUGAGCCACCGCGCCCGGCCGAACUCCAAAAUUAUUAAACUCUGAGCGUCUGCAGGUGACUGACACAUCUGCGCUUCCUUUCUUCCAGGGUGUGGGGAAGAGCGAGAAAAAGAUUUCCGCUCUGGAAGGUAAACAAAUACUCUCUGGAGAGAGAAGAGGAAUGUCCCUAGCAGAUGUCUCCAGAGAAGACAAGACUUUAAAUUCCGCCAGGGAAAUAUACAAUGUCUAACUUCUAAGGCACAUUUGCCAUUCAAUCAUGCUUUAACCCACGUUGCCAGAAAUUUUUGCUCACUAGGUUUUGACUGUACAGGAAUGUGAAAAUAUUCAUGAAGAGUUGUUUUCCAAUGCUAAAGAAUUGAUGUGUUUUAACAGUUGAAUUAAUUGUAUUGAUUAUGAUCACACCUACUUUUUAUAUAUCUUCAUUUCUAACGUUUCUGUACAAUCCUGCCUUUCCACCUGAUAUAGUUAGGCCUUGUGUCAUCAACCAAAUCUCAUCUUGAAUUGUAAUCGCCAUAAUCCCCACGUAUUUAGGGAGAGACCUGGAGGGAGGUGUUUGGAUCAUGGGGGCGGUUUCCCGCAUGCUGUUCUCAUGACCAUGAGAGUAAGUUCUCAAGAGAUCUGAUGGUUUUAUAAGCGUCUGUCAUUUCCACUGCUUGCACUUCUGUGUCCUGCCACCUUGUGAAGAAGGACGUGGUUGCUUCCCCUUCCACCAUGAUUGUGUUUCCUGAGGCCUCCCCAGCCUUGCAGAGCUGUGAGUCAAUUAAACCUCUUUCCUUUAUAAAUUACUCAGUCUCUGUAUUCCUCUGCAGCAGUGUGAGAACAGACUAAUACAUCACCACUUUAUUUACUUUACUCUCUCCCCAUACCGAGGUUUUCUACAUUUUCUUUCUAGGUCUCUACAGUUUCUGCAAAGAUCCUUUAUGGAACUCUUAGGGAAGCUGGGAUGUAUAAUAAAUAAAGGGCUCUUUUCUUUGAGUCCCACACCCAUUUUCUGUGUAUAAAAAUCUUCAACUCCACUUUUGUCUGUUCUAUUUAAAUGUGUGCACAUUUCCUUCUAAUGUUGUAUAUGAAAAAGAGACACCUCUUAGCAGUCUUUCAUAGAGCAAAAUUUUUUACUUUGAUAAAAUCUAAUUUAUCAAUAUUUUUAAAUUUUAUGGAUCAAUCAUGCUUUUGAGGUUGAAUUUAAGAAUGCUUUGCCUAGCCCUAGAUCCCAAGUAUCUUUUAAAAAUUAUUUUUCUAAAUGCAUUAUUUAUGUUUUACACUUAAGUCUAUAAUCCAUUUUGAGUCCAUGUGUAAGAUUUAGGUUAAGGUCAAGAUUUAUCUGUUUUUGUUGUUUUCUCUAUAAAUGUCAAUUGCUCCAGCACUAUUUGUUUAAAAGCCAAUCUUUCCUCCGCUGAGUUCUUCCUAUAAGUUUGUCAAAAGUCAAUUUGGCAUCUUUGUAUAAGUUUAUUUCUGGAUUCUCUAUUCUGUUUUAUUGAUCACUGCAUCUAUCCCUCUUGAUUAGCUAGAUAAUAAAUCCUACAAUAAGGUAGAAUUCUUCCCACUUUAUUCAUAUUCAAAAUAUUUUAAAGCUAUUCUAGUUUCUUUUUAUUUCCAUAUAUAUUUUAGGAUAAUCUUAUCUAUAUUUACAACAUAUGUUGCUAGGAUUUUGAUAGAAUUUGUUUUAAAUUUGUGUAUCAAUGUAGGGAAGACCUGACAUCUUUACUAUUACGUUGAUCUUCCAAUCAAUGAAUAUGGUAUAUCUCUCAGUUUAUAGCUAUUGUCUUUAAUUUAUUUCAUCAUGGUUUUUAGUUUUCAGCAGAGAAGCUUUAUACAUGUUUUGUUAUACAUGUAUAACAAAAGAAGCCUUAUACACUGACAUUUUAUAUUUUGAACAAUUGUAAAUGGUAUUGUUUAAAAAUUUUGUUGUCUAUGAUAGAAAUAAAAUUGAUUUUUGUAGGUUUAUCUUGUAACCUAUGACUUGCUGAGCUCGCUCAUUAGUUUUUUUAUUGUGAUAAAAUAUACAUGAGAUAAAUUUCAUCAUUAUAAUCAUUAAGUUUAGACAUCAAUUGCAUUAAGUACAUAAAUGCCUUAUGCAACCAUCAUCUCUAUCCAUCUCCAGACCCUUUGCAUCACCCUAAAAUGAAACUCUGUGCCCAUUAAACAAUAACUCCCCAUUCUGCCCUCACCCCAGCCCUUGGUAAUUACCAUCCUACCUUUUAUCUCUAUAAAUUUAACCAUCCCAGGUAACUCAUAUAAGUGGAAUCAUGCAGUGUUUGUCCUUUUGUAACUGGUUUAUUUCACUUAGCAUGAUGUCUUCAAGGUUUGCCUAUGUCAUAGCAUGUGUCAGAAUUUCAUCCCUUUUUAAACUUAAAUAAUAUUCCACUGUAGGCAUAUGCCACAUUUUGUUUAUUUGUUCAUCUGUUGAUGGGCAUUUGGGUUGUUUCCACCUUUUGGCUACUGUGAAUAAUGCUGCUGUGAUCAUGGGUAUGCAACUGUCUCCUGGAGUCCCUGCUAUCAAUUCUUGUGGGUAUAUACCCAGAAGUGGAAUUGUUGCAACAUAUAGUAAUUCUAUGUUUAAUUUUUUGAGGACCUGCCAUAAUGUUUUCCACAGUAGCUACAUUGUCUUAUAUUCCCAUUAAGAGUUCCAAUUUCCUCACAUCUUCACCAAUACUUAUUGUUUUCUGUUUUUUUAAAUAAUAGCCAUCAUAAUAAAAGUAACAUGGUAUCUCAUUGUGGUUUUAACUGCAUUUCCCUUUUUACUGGAUUGUUUGUAAUAUUGCUGUAAUUGAGUUGUAGGAGUUUUUAAAUAUGUUCUGAAUAAUUAAUUUCUUAUCAGAUAUGUCAUUUGCAAAUAUUUUCUGCCAUUCUCUGGGUUGUCAUUUCACUCUCUUGAUAGUGUCCUUUGAUGCACAGAAGUUUUGAAAUUUGAUAAAGUUUAAUUUGCGUAUGUAUUUAUUUUGUUGCUUAUGCUUUUGGUGUCAUAUCCAAGAAAUUAUUGCCAAAUUCAGUGUCAUGAAGAUUUUCCCCUGUGUUUUCCUCUAAGAGUAUUAUAGUUUUAACUCUUGCACUUAGAUUGAUCCGCUUUGAGUUAAUUUUAGUAUAUGGGGUAAGACAAGGGCUCAAAUUUGUUCUUUUGUUUGAAGAUUCUAGGUCAUUUGUGAUCUUUAGGAUUUUCUAUGUAGACAUUAAUGUCAUCUUCAAAUAUGAACAGUUUAUUUCUUCCUUUUGUAUAUGUAUGAAUUUACUUUCCUUUUCUUGCCUUAUUGCACUGGCUAGAGUUUUCAGUACUAUGAUGAAUAAAAUCAGUGAGAGCAGACACCCUUGCUUUGUUUCUAAUCUUAGGAGGAAAGCUUUCAGUCUUUCAUCAUUAGGUAUACUGUUAGUUGUAGGCUUAUUAUAGAUGCUCUUUAUCAGGUUGAGGCAGUUUCCUCCUUGGUUAAGACUUUCUAUUUUUCAUUUUCAGUUAUGACCAGGCAUGUUCAUAACUGCUCAUCAAAACUUUGAAUUAGUGGCUGCUUUAACAUCCUUCUCAGACAAUUCUAACAUCUGUUUUGUUGGUGGUGGCAUCUAUCAAUUGUCUUUUUCAUUCUGUUUGAGAUCUUCCUUGCGUUUGGUAUGAUUUUUUUAAAUAUUAUGUCAUGAAACUGCAUCUUAUUUAAAUCUUCUGUUUUAGUUGGCUAUGUCUGACAUCACUUCCCCAGGGGAAGGUGUUGUUACUGCUAGUGGAGGGUGAGAAUUAUGGCUCUCCACUGACAUUGUGGUGGGAUUGGUCCCAUUACCACUGGGCAGGGUUGAAAGUCCUGACUUUCUGCUAGGCCUUCUCUGACUUCAUCGCAGCAGGAGGAAAAGAUGCCUCUGGAGUUGAAGUCAGGUUGCACUGACACUGUGUGUGUAUGGAGGUAGGCUGGGGUGAAAGUGGAGACUCAUUACCACAUGGUGAGUAGUUUCCAGCUCUCUAUUUGGCCUUCUCUGAUACCACCCAGACAGGGACAUUGGGGAUACCUCAUUACAGCCUAGUGAGGGUCAAACUCUAGGCUCCCCACUCAGUCUUUGCUAUCAUGGACACUGUAGGACCAUAGUUUUUUCUGUGCUGUUUGCUUGAUGUGUCUUCCUUGGACCCUGAGUUCCAUAGCUGGUCUGCAUUCCUCUCUCCACCUUUAAGACGUCUUCUUAUGUUUAUUUCAUAUUUAACAUCCAGGGUGGUAAUUAGAGGGAAGAAUAGAGGGAAAAGUACAGUUGCACUUUGUUGUUCAAAGAGCAGUUUUGAACUGCACAGACCCAUUUCUCUGAGCACACCCAGGGAUGAUUGUACUUGUAUAAAAUUUUUUUCCUGGAUGCAGAAUUCUCAAUUGACUGUGAAAGUUCAUAACAAAGAAAACAGUGGGGAAGACAAAUCUGGAAAUGAGGAAAAUAAAAAUUAAAUAGUGAGACCACCCAUGGAGCUUGUGGCAAAGCCUGAAUUGAAUCCGCUGUAUCUUAAGAUUGUGCCUCAUUCUAAAUUUAAGUCACCCUUCUCAUUAUGAAAGUGUCACAACUUCUCAGUAGGUGAGGAGACAGUCUAAAUUUGAGAAAAGAAAGUUACAACAAAGGUUUUGAGCAAGCUGCUAAGUGGAUUUAUUCAUGUUUGAGAAAUCAAAUAUAUGGUUAAUGAGCUCUUUAACUAGAAGCCAACACUAGGGAGGAGUAGACAGAAGUCACGGGGAGGGAGCCCCCGGACAUUUCAAAAGACUUUGCCCUGCAACAUCUCCUCCACAUUUAAGCUUUUAGGUUAUUGUAGCCACAUCACAAGCAUGUUACCUACCCAGAUAUUGUCUGCGCAUCAUUCCCAAAAGCUUCCCUGGGUCUUCAUAAUAUUAAUGAGAUUCUCCCCCAGGUUAGACCCCUUUGGCUUGAGUCAGAAACAGAAUUAAUCCGGGGGACAAUCCAGCAGCACCCAUCUCUGGGUUGCAGAAAUAUCUGAGGUGACCAGGCAGUGUUUGGAGUCCCCUCAGUUAGCUAACAAAGUGAGUUCACAGCUUCCAAGACCCCAGGCUUUCCAGGCUAAUAAAGAGCUGAGGUUAUAGGCUCUCCUUAUCAAACGCUCUUUGGCAGCUGCCAUAACCAUUCCAAGUCUAGUCCUAGAAUAGAAAUGACGCGGUUUCAGGAGCUGACAGAUGGAACUUUAAGCCUUCCUUCCUGCCACAUCUGAAGUUCUUUUUUAAAAAAAUAGAAAACCAUGACAAUAAACACUCCUUGAAUGCCCUGUGGAAAAGUGUACUCCUCAGAAUUCACUAAAGUGGGGUGAAGCAGUGGGUUGUGGUGCUGAGAAAACAUCUCUUCCCCUCGGCAGUAUAUUGGAAUCUCAUAGAAACUUCUGUGGCUGGGAAGCAAACAUGCUCUCUGCCCCAUUGCUCUUAUUCAUCUUUAGACCUGAUAAUACAGUUUGAACUUCAAGUUGCACUUUAAAUGGCAUGCAUUUUUA